GCGAUGAUCAGUAGCCAGUAUGAGAGGAUGAACGGCCACAUUGGGACUGAGACACGCCCCAGACUCAUACGGGAGGCAGCAGUGGGGAAUCUUCCGCAAUGGACGAAAGUCUGACGGAGCAACGCCGCGUGAGUGAUGACGGCCUUCGGGUUGUAAAGCUCUGUUAAUCGGGACGAUAAGGCCUUCUUGUGAAUAGUUAGAAGGAUUGACGGUACCGGAAUAGAAACCCACGGCUAACUACGUGCCAGCAGCCGCGGUAAUACGUAGGUGGCAAGCGUUGUCCGGAAUUAUUGGGCGUAAAGCGCGCGCAGGCGGAUUGGUCAGUCUGUCUUAAAAGUUCGGGGCUUAACCCCGUGAUGGGAUGGAAACUGCCAAUCUAGAGUAUCGGAGAGGAAAGUGGAAUUCCUAGUGUAGCGGUGAAAUGCGUAGAUAUUAGGAAGAACACCAGUGGCGAAGGCGACUUUCUGGACGAAAUCUGACGCUGAGGCGCGAAAGCCAGGGGAGCGAACGGGAUUAGAUACCCCGGUAGUCCUGGCCGUA
rnacentral:rRNA from 1 species